CAAUCAUCAGGCACAGGAGGAAGGGCUCUAGUAUAAUAGGAGAGGUUAGAGAAGGCUUCCCAGCUUUUGUAGCCAUAGUCAGCAUUGUAAGUUGGUGGACUGUCAAUCAAAUGUGAUCUGGAUGUCAACACAUAACUCAUAAUUGCAUUUCGAAGGAAGGGAAUGUUAUUCACAACGUUCCAAAAUCCCUUGAAGUGGGUAAGUAUGUAGUGCACUGUGUUUGGAGUGGG
rnacentral:lncRNA from 1 species